UCAUCCAUAGCCAAUUAAUGAUUAAACUCAAUGAUUAGUUGUACUUGUUUAGAGUGACAUCAUUGCAUCGUGUAGUGUUUGAAAUAAUAUUCAUGGAUUUCUUCAAUAGCAUUUCCUGUUUUCUUUAAUCUUUUCCAGGUAUUUUUUGGGUUCAUAGAGCCCGAGAUACACAUCAGAACUCUCCAUCAGACCAGAAUGAGGAUCAAGUCAACAUAUAUUCUGAUCUUCUUCAUGGUAAUUUGGCCAUCUAUGAGUCACUCAGACGACCCAAACCAGCUGAGAAUGAUCCAGUUUACGAAAACCUAGCUUUUUUGCAUCCAUCCAUUCAUCUUCCUUCUCAGUUCAGUCCUGUUCCACUGGGUCACGAGGACGCUGGUAGAGCCCGGGAGGUUCAGGAGUCUGUUGCUGGGCCAGAUUCUGACACAAGGGAGAAUUUAGAGUCAUCGACCAGCAUAUGAAGCAUGUUUUUGUGUGAGAAAGCCCCAAUUCCAAUCAGAAAACCCUCAAAUGCACAGGGAGAACAUGCUAAUUUAACCAAGAUUUCAACCAUUUCUUGCUGUGAGGCGAAAAUGCAAACCACAAUAUAGCAUGUUUUUAUUGUUUUUAUUUAUUUACUAAUAACUAAGUAAAAAUUAUAGCUCUUCUGAAGGAAUUUGUGUGAGAUCAUCAAUUAUUUUCUGUUGCUCAUAGAACACAAGAUUGUUAAAACCUCAGAAUAU